UCGUGAUUUCUUAGCAAUCCCGGUAUCAACGGUUGCAUCAGAAUCGGCAUUUAGCACAUGUGGACGUGUUCUAGAUGAUUUUAGGACCUCGCUUACUCCCUUCAUGGUUCAAGUUCUUGUUUGUAGCCAAGAUUGGCUAAGGCAUUCUACUCCUAUCAAUAUUGAAGAGGAUAUGGAGGAAUUAGAGAUCUUGGAAAAAGAAUUACUAGAAGAGUAUGCUACUGCAAAGUCUGCCAAGUCGAAGACAUCACAAGCUAGCAAUACUUGUUCAGCUUAAACUUGGUGAGCACAAAUGCUUAAUCUUCUAUAUGGGCAAAAAGUUUAGUAUGACUGGUUUAUACAACCAUUGGUUUCCAGGAUGUUUUGAUACAGGGUUUAGAUCUCCCUUCGAUGAUAUUGUGGGCAAGGAAGCAAGGAGUAUGUCUUUGUUGCCAACUCAGACAACUUGGGUGCCAAUUUUCUCGUCUCUGGCUUGUUAGGCUGUUUACUGAAUGCUGACUGUUC